UACGGAGGGGGCUAGCGUUGUUCGGAUUUACUGGGCGUAAAGGGCGCGUAGGCGGCCAGCACAAGUCAGUUGUGAAAUCUCCGAGCUUAACUCGGAAAGGUCAACUGAUACUGUGCGGCUAGAGUGCAGAAGGGGCAACUGGAAUUCUUGGUGUAGCGGUGAAAUGCGUAGAUAUCAAGAGGAACACCUGCGGCGAAGGCGGGUUGCUGGGCUGACACUGACGCUGAUGCGCGAAAGCCAGGGGAGCGAACGGG
rnacentral:rRNA from 1 species